rnacentral:rRNA from 1 species
GACGGGGGCCCGCACAAGCAGCGGAGCAUGUGGUUUAAUUCGACGCAACGCGAAGAACCUUACCAGGUCUUGACAUCCAGUAAAAACCUGAGAGAUCAGGUGUGUCUUCGGACAUACUGAGACAGGUGGUGCAUGGUUGUCGUCAGCUCGUGUCGUGAGAUGUUGGGUUAAGUCCCGCAACGAGCGCAACCCUUGUGUUCAGUUGCUAACAGGUGAAGCUGAGAACUCUGAACAGACUGCCGGGGACAACUCGGAGGAAGGUGGGGACGACGUCAAAUCAUCAUGCCCCUUAUGACCUGGGCUACACACGUGCUACAAUGGCCACCACAGAGAGGGGCAAGCCCGCAAGGGGGAGCAGAUCUCAAAAAAGUGGUCCCAGUUCGGAUUGUGGGCUGCAACCCGCCCACAUGAAGUCGGAGUUGCUAGUAAUCGCGGAUCAGCAUGCCGCGGUGAAUACGUUCCCGGGCCUUGUACACACCGCCCGUCACACCAUGGGAGUUGGGAGUGCCCAAAGUCGGUGAGGUAACCGCAAGGAGCCAGCCGCCUAAGGCAAGACCAAUGACUGGGGUGAAGUCGUAACAAGGUAG